UAUGGCUCAGAUUGAACGCUAGCGGGAUGCCUUACACAUGCAAGUCGAACGGCAGCACGGACUUCGGUCUGGUGGCGAGUGGCGAACGGGUGAGUAAUGUAUCGGAACGUGCCUAGUAGCGGGGGAUAACUACGCGAAAGCGUAGCUAAUACCGCAUACGCCCUACGGGGGAAAGCAGGGGAUCGUAAGACCUUGCACUAUUAGAGCGGCCGAUAUCGGAUUAGCUAGUUGGUGGGGUAACGGCUCACCAAGGCGACGAUCCGUAGCUGGUUUGAGAGGACGACCAGCCACACUGGGACUGAGACACGGCCCAGACUCCUACGGGAGGCAGCAGUGGGGAAUUUUGGACAAUGGGGGAAACCCUGAUCCAGCCAUCCCGCGUGUGCGAUGAAGGCCUUCGGGUUGUAAAGCACUUUUGGCAGGAAAGAAACGUCGUGGGUUAAUACCCCGCGAAACUGACGGUACCUGCAGAAUAAGCACCGGCUAACUACGUGCCAGCAGCCGCGGUAAUACGUAGGGUGCAAGCGUUAAUCGGAAUUACUGGGCGUAAAGCGUGCGCAGGCGGUUCGGAAAGAAAGAUGUGAAAUCCCAGAGCUUAACUUUGGAACUGCAUUUUUAACUACCGAGCUAGAGUGUGUCAGAGGGAGGUGGAAUUCCGCGUGUAGCAGUGAAAUGCGUAGAUAUGCGGAGGAACACCGAUGGCGAAGGCAGCCUCCUGGGAUAACACU
rnacentral:rRNA from 1 species